rnacentral:sRNA from 1 species
GAUAACGUUGCGUCAGCGACGGCCCGUAGGGCGAGGCGAAGCCGAGUCAUCCUGCACGACCCACCA